rnacentral:sRNA from 1 species
GCUGGGUGUGGUGGCGUGCACCUGUAAUCCCAGUUACUUGGGAGGCUGAGGCAGGAGAAUUGCUUGAACCCAGGAGGUAGAGGUUGCAGUGAGCCGAGAUUGUGCCACUGCACUCCCGCCUGGGCAACAGAGCAAGACUCUAUCUCAA